AAUUGGACCAGACACAUCCCAUCAACCCUUUAAACACCCAAAACAGAUGACCCUUUUUUCAUUUUUUGUUUUGUUGAAAGGGUCUUCACAAACCCUAGCCGCCUGUUGACACCUCUCUCUCCUCUCUCUUCGUUAUCUAGACGAAAAUGGGAAAGAUGCAGAGGUUAUUUGCUUUAGUAGACCAUGCAUGGUCAAUUGGGGAAAGGCAAUUCAUGCCUCGUCCUUCCUCCACCAUAUUUCAACCAUUGAAGAGGUGAGGUCGCCCAUUUUUUCCUUUUUCAUCUGAAUUUCUUAAUGGUUUUUGUCCAUUUGCUGGUUUGAAUGCUCAUCUGUGAUUGGCGAUUCAACAUUGGAGGGAUUUUCCCCUCCAUUUCUACUUGUCCCAGACCGAUGUUAAACAUCAAACCUAGGGUUUGGGGGUUGUAUAUAAAGAACCCUAUUCCCCACAGAUUACACACCUUUGAGCACACGGAUAAUUCUGAAUUAAGUGUUUUCUAACCCAAUAUUGGCUUAAUUAAGGAUCCAGCUUUAAGCGGAACCUUUACCUAGACUAAGUUUUUGUUAGUUUUAAACUUGUUCUUUUUCUUUGUGGAUGAGUGUUCGUGGAGCUUGAAGGAAGCCCUGGUUCUAUUCUCGACAAGGCUGCACAGAAAAAAAGAUACCUUAUAAGCUCAAUUCCCUUUUUUCCCUCUCCUUUGCAUGAAAUCUGUGCGAUGCGGGCCCAAAUGGGCCGACACUGCAUACCUCCUGUUGGGCUGAAGACCCAACAAUACAUUAGAUUGAGUCAAAUCCACAUUGAAGGCCCAACCAUGGGUGAAAAGGGUCAAACUGGUGGGCUCGGUAGGCCCACCAGCCUUUCAUAUCUUUUAUUUUUUGUGUGUAUGUAUUUUAUAAGUGUUGUUGUAAUGAACACUUGUAAAAAAUGUUGAAACACGAUUGGUUAUAACUUAGUUGAAAUAGGCAAACAAUCCUUAUAUCGCUUAGAA